GCGCUAAUAGCUCAGCUGGAUAGAGCAACUGCCUUCUAAGCAGUAGGUCCGGGGUUCGAGUCCCUGUUAGCGCGCCA
rnacentral:tRNA from 2 species